GGCCGGACUUGGUCGUCGCGCCUCUGCUGGGGGACUCGUUGCUUCGGCGGCGAGGUAACCUACGUUACUGUGAAGAAAUUAGAGUGUUUAAAGCAGGCGAUCGCUUGAAUACAUCAGCAUGGAAUAACAAGAUAUGACAUAUGUCUUCUUGUUGGUUUGGGGACAAAUGUAAUGAUUAAUAGGGCCAGUUGGGGGCAUUAGUAUUCAGUAGUCAGAGGUGAAAUUCUUGGAUUUACUGAAGACUAACUAAUGCGAAAGCAUUUGCCAAGGAUGUUUUCAUUAAUCAAGAACGAAAGUUAGGGGAUCGAAGACGAUCAGAUACCGUCGUAGUCUUAACUAUAAACGAUGCCGACUAAGGAUCGGCAGAAGUCGUUAGCGACUCUGUCGGCACUUUGUGAGAAAUCAAAGUUUUUGGGUUCUGGGGGGAGUAUGGUCGCAAGGCUGAAACUUAAAGGAAUUGACGGAAGGGCACCACCAGGAGUGGAGCCUGCGGCUUAAUUUGACUCAACACGGGAAAACUCACCAGGUCCGGACAUAGUAAGAAUUGACAGAUUGAGAGCUCUUUCUUGAUUCUGUGGGUGGUGGUGCAUGGCCGUUCUUAGUUGGUGGAGCGAUUUGUCUGGUUAAUUCCGAUAACGAACGAGACCUUAACCUGCUAACUAGUUGCAGGUACUUUUGUAUCUGACACUUCUUAGAGGGACUGACUA
rnacentral:rRNA from 1 species